AGUUUCCAUCAUGGUGGUUUUUCGGUGCCAGACGUGCGUCUACGAGAGAAGUCCCAUGUCCGGAAACGAUAAUUUUAUCACGUUCGUGAAACAAUCGCCCGAGUGAAACAAAACCUCACGCGGACUAUUGCACAGCGGCGUCUACCUCAAGUCCAGGAGGAGGAAGGUGAGCAGCAGCAGGAUGCUGUGCACCAUGGAGAAGCCGAGCGUAGGUGGUGGUGCCACUGGGGGCACGUGCACCUCGAGUGUGCCCAAGAUCAUGGUGUUCCGGCCCACCCUGGAGGAGAUGCAGGACUUCUCCAAGUACCUCGAGCACAUGGAGUCCAUGGGAGCCCACAAGGCCGGACUGGCCAAGAUCAUCCCGCCCAAGGAGUGGAUCCCCCGCAAAGGCGGCUACGACGACAUUGACAUGGAGAUUCCAUCGCCCAUCUCACAAGUGGUGUCGGGGGGCCAGGGUCUCUACCAGCAGUACAACAUCCAGAAAAAGUCCAUGAGCGUCAAGGAAUUCAGGCGCGUGGCCCAAAGUGACCGUUUCAACACUCCCCCUCACUUCGACUACGAGGACUUGGAGCGCAAGUAUUGGAAGAACAUUGCCUUCAAUGCUCCAAUCUACGGCGCGGACGUGUCGGGUUCCCUGUAUGACCCGGGUGUCAAGGAGUUCAACAUCAACCACCUGAACACCAUCCUGGACUUGGUGGGCCAGGACUAUGGCAUCAAGAUUGAAGGGGUCAACACGGCCUACCUCUACUUUGGCAUGUGGAAGACCACGUUUGCCUGGCACACCGAGGACAUGGACCUGUACUCCAUCAACUACCUCCACUUCGGGGCCCCCAAGUCGUGGUACUGUGUGCCCCCCGAGCAUGGGCGCCGGCUCGAGCGCCUCGCGGCAGGCUUCUUCCACAACACGGCCCAAGAGUGCUCCGCCUUCCUGCGGCACAAGAUGACGGUCAUUUCGCCCCAGGUCCUGCGCCAGUACUCGAUACCUUACAACAAGAUAACCCAGGAGGCCGGCGAGUUCAUGAUCACCUUUCCGUACGGCUACCAUGCCGGCUUCAACCAUGGCUUCAACUGUGCCGAGUCCACCAACUUUGCCCUGCCUCGUUGGGUUGAGUACGGCAAGCGGGCCUCGCAGUGCUUGUGUCGGAAUGACUGCGUGAAGAUCAGCAUGGACGUGUUUGUAAAGAAGUUCCAGCCCGAUAGAUAUGAGCUGUGGCUGGCUGGCCAGGACGUGGGCUGCCACCCCGAGGACCCCUCGAGCCGUGUGGCUGCCCGGCCGCCCACCCACCUCGAGAUGGCCAUGCUGCGUUCCAUGAUCAAGUCCAAGUCGAAGCGCCACCCCGUGCUGUCCAAGCACUGUCUCGUGCCCGAGGAGGAUGCCGGCGACACAGACGGCACCGAGAUUUACGACCCCGAGGACGACGAGGACACCAAGAAGCAACGACGGCCGUCCAAGGGGUCACUCUCCAAGCGCAAAGGCCCGCCCAAGGGGGCAGCACAGGGUGGCGACAAGAAGCGGCCUCGCAAACCUCGCACCAACAGCACUAACGAUGGCGAUGCCUCUCCCACCAAGGGGUCGGCAAGCAGAAACCCUGCCCAGUACAACAGCUUGAUGCAGGAGCUGAGCGUAGUGGUGGAGCCUCUGGCACAUGCGGAGCCUCCGAAACUGGAGCCCCUGAAGGCGUCUCCUGCCGAGGCUCCUCCUCAGUCGGAGCCGACGCAGCUGCCCGCCGAACGCUGUGAGGACAUAUACCAGCACACCGCUGAGCUGCCCGCAUUGAGCCUGGGACCGGGGGUUAGUCUGGGCGACCAGUGGUCCCUGAUGACUCCGGUGGAGGCACUUGUUCCCGCACCAACGCCCUCUCCCAACCACUCGGCACCGCUUCUUUCUUCCCCACCAGAGGACACCAGUUCACUUCCCUUCUCGAAGGUGGCUACCGAGAAGGAGGAGGAGGUGACACCAACCCCCGGCAUGCCACGCAAGCUGUGCCUGAGCACGGCCGUGCGACGCCAACCUUUGCACCCUGCACCCAAGAAGCGCAAGUCACAUCCAGCACUCAUCAAGGGCCAUGGGGAAGACAGCAGCGAUGAGGGUUGGUCGUCCGGAGGGGACACCUCUGGGUCAAAGGCCAACAGCAGCAGCAGUGCGGCCACAACAACCACAACAACAACGGGUGGUGGCAAUGGUGGCAGUCUCGGGGCGAGGGAGCCCGGCAGCUGGGCAGCGCCGUACAUGGACCUGUGGAGCUUCCGACCGGCCAAUCUGUAUGCCGAGCGACAGCUCAACCGGCACUCCUCCACCCUCGAGCCGCACUGUGCCCUCUGCCUGCUCUUCCGACCACUCCAGUACUCGCGCGAGGAAACUCCCCGAGAGCAGCCCAUAGUGCCGGAGUCUAGCGCCGUGUGGAUGCCCGCCGUGUGCUUUGUAAACGGUGGCCUGGACGUGGCGUGCAGUGCCGAAGUGGGCAUGCCCGAGAUUCCCGACACCGACGUCAAGUCGAGCGAGCUGCUCGUUUGUACCUCUUGUUCCGUCUGCGUUCACAAACACUGUUAUGGUGUCACGGUUCCUGUCAUCAAGGAGACUUGGAAGUGUGACCGAUGCGCGGUGCAGCCUAUCAGUGUGGAGUGUUGCCUGUGCUCCUUGCGUGGGGGUGCCCUGAAACAGACAACGCACGGCCGCUGGGUGCACCUGCUCUGUGCCCUGCUGGUGCCCGAGGUUCACCUGGUAGACCAGCGUGCUCGUUCUCCUGUGGACGUGCUCAGAGUCACACCGCAGAGGGCCCGCCUGCGCUGCACGUACUGCCACAAGCUACGGGACCGGCUCGGCUGUCCCCUGGAGUUGGGUGCCUGCAUCCAGUGCACGUCGGGCAAGUGCACGACGGCAUUCCACGUGACGUGUGCCCACGCAGCGGGCGUCUCAUUCCUCACCUCGGACUGGCCGCUGCCCAUCUUCAUCAAGUGCAUCAAGCACAGUUCAACCCAGAGCGACACCAAGGUCAGGGAGGACACAACUCGUUCACCACUUGUCACAUCACGGGAGCGCCCUCCGGCCGAGCCCCUUCCUCCCGUGGAGCCCGGCAAUCGCGUGGUGGCCAAGCACAAAAACGGCCGCUACUACUGGGGUCGGGUGCAGGAAAGCCGCAGCCAGGACUUGUACUCGGUCGACUUUGAAGACAACUCCUCUUGCGAUAACCUACGGCCAGAGGACAUAGUGGACCGUGACUGCGUGCAGGCAGGACCACCCAACCCCGGUGACAUAGUUCAAGUGAACUGGACAGACGGCAAGCUGUACCACGCUGUCUUCAAGGGACACAAAACAGUCAGCCUGUACACGGUGGUGUUUGAGGACGAGUCCGAGCGGACGGCCAAGCGCGAGGACAUCUAUGCCGAGGGAGAAGAGCUCCCGAAGCGGGUCAAGUCUAGGUUGAGGAUUUUUAGCGGAUUCUAAGGGAUUUCGGAUUCUGUUUUAGCAGAACCCUUUCGGGAGGCAACAUUGACUUCAGUCUGAAGCAACCGAAAGGCAGCACAUCGACUUGUUUGAAGAACAGCCGGUGGAAGGUCGUCGCCGCCGGGCCCUCAAUGUCCGCUACAUCGACGACGACAUCCUGCUUCUCUGAGGAAGGAGGCAG
rnacentral:misc_RNA from 1 species